rnacentral:lncRNA from 1 species
UUUUGGGGGAUGGGCUUUUGGGCUUUUGUUCAGUUGGUUGAGUUUUUUUUUGUUUUGUUUUUUUUUUGUUUUUUUGUUUGUUUGUUUUUGGUUUUGUUUUGUUUUUUUUUUUUUUGGUUUGGUUUGGUUUGAUUUGGGUUUUGUUUUUUUGUUUUUUGAGACAAGGUUUCUCUCUCCACAGUCCAAGAUGUCCUGGAACUCACUAAUAACACAGAUUCUUAUACUUACUACAAACCAUAGGUUUCCAGUAUAUUACAAAUAAUUUGGGUCAUUCAUUACCUGAAAUCUGGCACCUUAGAAGGCAAUUAAUGUGCCUAGAUACUCAUAGCUUGAAGGAGGAAGAAAGAGUAAAGCAGAAUUAAGUGCAGAGAAUGUCAUUUCCAUUAAAUACUUAGCAAACAGCAUUUGCUCAGUAAAACUGUGCAGCACUUACAUCCUAAAUGAGAGUUUGAAAGGAGAAAAUAACGUGACUUAGCCUUUCUUUCCAGGUCAAGAAAACUUUAUUUAAAGAGAGACUCACCGUGGUUUAUAAAUCCCUCUUAAUUAUUCUCCAUUGAUUAAUAAGGCAUCCACCCAAACACAUCUUUCUCUGCACUCUCCUAAGCCUCAGUAAGCUCUUUAGACAAGCGUGGAAGGCUUAAUGUAUUUCCUACGAAACUGUACCAUUCUCCUUGAUCAGCUUAGCCCAGCUUUGCAAACUGAAAAAAAAAAAUCAUUCCUGGCAUCAAUGUUCUGAUUAAUAAUUGAAUCCUAAGACCCUUCCAAGACAACAUUUGCAAGGACAGCUUAGUGGGGAGAAAGAGUUGCGCCAUGCACCACCAUGUCAGGAUGGAGCAUGCUCACGACCUCAGCUGGAGGUCCAGACUCUGGGGGUCUUUACACCCUUUAAAACUCUGUCCUAAAAAUGCAUGGCACUGGCUCCCCUGCAGCCUGAUGGCCUCCACCUGCUUUCUGGUGAUGCACAAUCAAGAUGCACUCUUCUUGUACUUGCUGUGUGGCUGCAGGUCACAUUCUUAAUGCUUCAUAUUAAGCUCUCUCAGGUUUUGAAUUAUUUAUGAUAGUGUUAUGGACUAUUUCUUUCUUUAAUCCUGAAGCAGGAAAUAAUGCUGUUGUCCUGAAAUGUCACACUGAGAAACAAGAGAAGCCCCAUAUUUACCCAUCCAAAAGAGUAUUCCUUCUGGAUGGUUUUCAAACAAACGUAUAUCUAAGUUAUUUGAGAUCUUUACAGAGCCCUCUAAGGCUACACAUCCUGUAUCAUACAAGACUAUGUAGACAGUUGUAAUCCUAUCAUCCUUCUUCCAUAGAAGGAAAAAGAAAAGAAGGAAAUUAUAUUUAGAUGAGCAACUGUCCCACUUUUUUAGAUAACCCAUUAGCAUUUCUCAAAGGCAAUGUGAAGGCUUCUUUGAAGCGUGUAACAACGGCCUUCUAAGGAAUGAGGUUAAGUGCAGAUGCCUGCACCUGAACCCUUGAGAACUUUGGAAUUAAGCAGGAGGCUGUUAAUUCUGCACAAUUUAAGAAACAACAAACUGCCAGACAGUUUCAUUAAUUUCAGUGAUAACUGUAUUUGC